GGUGGCGCCCAAGGGCUACUGCCACGACACGUGUGGCGUGUGCAGCGGCGCAGGGCUGCCGUGUGUGGACCUGCGCUGGACAGAUCAGUACACAUGCGCCGACCUCAAGUCUUGGGGCUCGUGCAAUGACACCUGGGUCACGGACAACAACUUUUGUCGAAAGACGUGCGGCGCGUGCACGGGCAUGCCCCGGCCACCGUCGCCGCGGCCGCCUUCGCCACGCCCGCCAUCUCCUUCGCCUCCGUCGCCACGCCCACCAUCGCCGCCCUCACCUCCCUCGCCUAGCCCGCCCUCUCCUAAGCCGCCCUCGCCACCGUCUCCUCCUUCACCCAGCCCACCGUCUCCCAAGCCGCCUACACCGCCAUCCCCCGUGCCGCCCUCGCCCAAGCCUCCCGUGCCGCCUUCUCCCGUACCACCCUCACCGAAGCCCCCUGCGCCUCCUUCGCCCUCCCCGCCAUCUCCCAAGCCGCCCGCGCCCUCUCCCCCUCCGGUCCCUCCAUCCCCAAAGCCACCGUCUCCCUCGCCGCCCACACCUCCCAAGCCGCCGUCGCCUUCCCCGCCCUCGCCGUCGAACAGCCCUUGGCGUUGCACCGGCAACACGGCCGGCAUCGCUGGGUGUGUGGACCCGGCAUCCUACCCAGCGCCUGCCUCGUCAGCCAACGCAGCGACUUGCGGCGUCCUUCCUUCGUGCACAACCAUCGGCUGCCCCCAUUGCGACGCGUCGCUCAAGCGCUGGGACUCGGCUGCGACGUGGACAAAUUACGCUAACCAGGUGCCGGUGUCAGGCGCGGACAAGGACGUAACUCUUCCGCCGGGCACCCGUGUGCUGCUUUCGGGCUGCAUGCUGAGCGGGGGCUCGCGCUUCCGCCGCAUCACCGUUCCCGAGGGCAGCCAGGUAUGCGUCUUGGCGCAUUUGUGGUAAACUGCAAAUGCGGGGACCAGGACCUUGCGCGUUGGAAGUUGGGUGGUUAGCCAACGAAACCGUGUGUGUAAGCCGAGCUUGGGCGUUGCAACCCGGGCGCCUUCCCUGCUCACUUCAAUCGUGCCGUACGCGUUUUGGUCACGCCUCACACCAUGUCCCUGCCCCGGCUUUCUGUGCGCUGUGCAGCUGGUUAUAGACGACGCGCCGCUGAACCUGACGCUGACCACGCUGCUGGUGCAAGGCAACUUCAGUAUGGGCUCCGCCAGCUGCCGCCUGCAGAGCGCCAUCUCCAUCACGUUCGCGCCCGCGGCAGGAGUGCCCACCAACAUGAUGGCGCUCAAGGUGUGCAGGGAAAGCUUCUUUGGGACGGGCCCUCAGUAGGGCAUGUGGGUCGGGAUCGCCCGUGUCCAGGUGGGCUAGGUGGCAGUGUCGCGGGCAAUCAAGGUGUUCAUGCUGGACUCUGUGGCGUAGGAGCACUGUGGCGUGUGCACUCUCCUCUUGUACACCUGCACCAAGGGUUCCCUCCCCUGCACAGGGCAUGAACACCAGCACUGUGGACAUGCACGGCGUGCUGUUCACGCCCACUUGGACGCGGCUGACUCAGACAGCGGCCCCGGGCACUCGUUGGGUGACUGUGCGCGACGCAGUCAACUGGCGUGUGGGGCAGCUGGUGGCCGUCCCUACCAGCGUGUGGAAAGACGAGUGCCGCAACCAGAACGAGGUCAGGCAGAUCCAGAGCAUCAGCGCCGACGGCAAGAACAUCACAUUCACGACGGCGCUGCAGUUUUUGCACUACGGGUAGGUUGGCGCUAACCUUCGAGUGAUGCUGUUUGGACGGCCGGGGCCCGUUUAUGUGCAUGUGGUGCCCAUAGUGACACCACGUACCAUCGCGGUCCUGGUGCAGGGGCCCCGAGUACCAGACGGAAGUGGUGCUCCUGAGCCGCAGCAUCCUGUUGCAAGGCAGCCCCGAGUCCGCGGCCGAGCUGGCGGGCGGGCACGUGCGCAUUGAGAGCAAGGUGGGUUCGCGCGAGGGCAAGGUGACCACUUGGCGGCGGCAUGCUGGUUGGCAUUAACGUGCAGUGCGAACGCGCACUUGUAUCUUCGAGUGAACCUCCGCUCACCUGGCGGUUCCCGUGAUCUGUGACGUGCAGCGCGGGCGCAUCCGCGGCGUGCUGGGCUACCGCAUGGGCCAGCAGUUUCAGAUGGGCAGCUACCCGUUCCAUUUCCACAUGGCGGGCGAGGUGCCGUCUGACAGCUACAUGACCGACAACGCAGUGUACGCCAGCUACUGGCGAGGUGCGCUUAUGGAGGCUUCAGGAUGUGUGUACUGUGAAGGCUGUCGUUGCAGAAUGGCCAUCCCAAACUUGCCCUGAUGACUGCCUUGACCGUAUGCCUACCUCUUGCCCACGCUCGCAGCCUUCACCAUCCACGGCACGCACGCGCUGACGGUGGCCAGCAACACCGCCUUCCACGUGGCCGGCUCGGCGUUCUACAUUGAGGACGGCGCGGAGGAGCGCAACCGCAUCAGCGGCAACUUUGCCGGCUUCGUGCACCCGCUGGGCCGUGUGGACACGUGCGACGCGGUUGGCAGCGUGUUCGGCGCGCCCACCAUCUACCAGUCUGCUACACUGCUGCAGCCUGCCGACUGGGCCGCUGCUGGCUUCUACCUUAGGUGGGUGCAUGGGGCUAGGGCCGCCUGUGUAUGGUUUCUUGCCUUUGCAAUAUCUGCGUGCGUGCCAUACGCUACGACUUGGUGAUUCCCACACGGGCUUCCCAUCGUUGCAGCAACGCCUACAACUACAUCGACAACAACGCGGCCAGUGGCGGCACCAGCGGCUUCAUGUUCCUGAAUCUGCCCUUGCCGAUCGGGGUGAGUGCCGGUGUGUGCCCCCUCAUUGCAUGCUGGGUGGCAUCUUUCUUUCACAAUGCUCAAUCGUGACCCGGCUGGUGACUUCGUUUCACUAUGCCGCCUGUGCGUGCCCAUAUCUGCCCAGCUGAACCGCAACGUGCCGCUGGAGCCCUACAAGCGGCCCCCGCUGAGCUUCAGCGGCAACACCGCGCACUCGUCCGGCUAUCACUGGGACAAUGCGGGUGCAAUCUACUGCGGCGGUAACCUGCAGUACGACACAGACAACGUGACGCUGAUCUACAAGAUUGAGCGGUCCACGUUUGACCCCACGUGAGUCUUUGUGAGCUGCUUACAGCUUUCCCUUUCGCCCAGCCAUUUCGGCAACAUGCGCCUUACUCUCCCUCACUUACUUACCACAGAGACACGGCCAACUCUUCGUUACCGGUCAAGUUUGUGUUGCGCAACACCAAAGUGUGGCUGGGCGGCUUCUCAGUCGCUUCCUAUGGCGACCGGUUCUUGGUGAGUCAUUACGAUGCAUGUGGCCUUUGCCCCUGUGACUGCUUGCAAGCACGUUUGCUGCUGGACCGCACAUGAACCUACGCGCUACCUACCUGCGUCUUGCUUGUGCCCGCCCCCAGGUGGACGGCUUUGAGUCGCAUGACGGCACCAUGGGCGCGGCGGUGCGCGGUGACCCCAAUGAGCUGCUCAAUGCCGACCUGAACCUCAACUCCGCCCACGCCGGCUGGCUGACUGCCAACAUCCCCAAUGAGUGAGCGAGUCUCCUGCCUGCAAUCAUAGGCCAUGCUAUGCCGCUCGUCGCAGCUACCCGGUCGAUAACGCCCGUAAGCCCCAUCGCACCCGGCUGCUCCUUUGGUUUACCACUCGCAGCCUGCAACAAGGCUACCGCUUCGGUCUGCAGUUCUACGACACGUGGAUGCGGCACCUUAUGUCCAACGUCACCAUCCGCAACGUGGUGUACAGCAGCACCGAGUGGCUCACGCAGGCGGCGCUGGUGGCAUUGACCUUUUCGGACCAGUUUAAGCCGUUCCACGUGGCCAGCAUUCGGGGCAUCCGCCUAGUGAACGUGACCAAGGCGGCCGUGUUGAGCAACCCCGUGGUCCGCACUGGGUCAUGGCGCUUCUACAACUUCCUGGGUGCGGACACGAAUGGCGGGGCACGUUCCAUUAGUUUGCUUGUGUAUGUGUAAGGAAGUUUUGUACCUUUGUUGUGCCACACGCCCGUUCUUGAUCUUGCCCGAUGCACACACUGACCUGCAGACGCGGACGGUUCCUUCACGGGCACCAAGCGCCCCACGCUGGUAGCGUCCUACUCCGCCACCAACAACACCGGGCCCUGCGAUGCCGCUGCGCCCACACCCUGCACCUCGAGCUUUAACUGGUGGCGCACGGACACGGCCUGCACGGCCACGCCGCCAAAUGUGUGAGUGCGGGGUCGGCUGGGCUAUUGGCUGUGCCGGUGACUUGGCAGUGCAGGGCAACAUAGCACGCACUGCUGACACUCAACACCACUGGCAUUGCUAUCUGUCCCUCAACCAACAAACACAUGCGCAGGCCUGCAACGUCGAACGUCCUCGCGUGUGACUGGUGGGUGGAGAAUGGACGGACCUGCUGUGUGCUUUGUGGAUGCAAACAUAGCAGCUGUUGCCUUUUAUGCUGCACAUUGACGGAUACGUACAUGGGCAUUGACCCUACCUGCUUUUACUCGCCGUGUUCGCCAGGUACCCAUGGCGCACCCAGGGGCGCCUGAGGCUGGAGGUGCCGAGCUAUGACCUCACGGUAACAACUUGAUGGUCUGCACGCCUCGCUAUGAACCUUCCACGUGGGGUGUCCCAACCAACAACGUGUUAUGCGACCUGCAUUCGCGUCACGUUUGCCUUGACUACGCUCCUGCGCAGACUGAAGAGGCUGGCUGGUUGUGGCCUUCCGUCAACAACAUCAACGUGUACGACGCCGGCGUGGUGGCGCAGUUCGGCCAGACCGGCGCCAACCGCCGCGCCACCAUCAUCACUCGGGCCGAGGGCGUGACGGGCCUGACGGGGCGCGGCGGCUGGUACGCGCACUGGAGCCUGGGCGCACCCAAGUACGUCAAGGUGCAUUUGGAGACUGUGCCCCGCGGCACCUCCAUCAUCUUUGCUACACGCUACCCCGCCGGCACCACCUUCAGCAUCACCCGCGUGGCCAGCUCCUGGCUGGUGCCUGACGGGCAGCUGCUGCCCGCGACCAGCCUGGCGGCGGUGCUGGGCAGCGACUCCGGCGAGUUCUACUUCUUUGACGGCAAGCUGCUGUACCUGAAGCUGGUGGACCUUUGGGAGGAGCCGUACCAGGGUCGGCUGCCGGCCCGGAGCGGCGGGCUGAUGGUGCCCGGCAGCCGCUGGGAGGAGUACUAUGAGGUGACGGCCAGCAUCCCUGGCUGCUCCACGUCGCCGUACCCCAGCCAGAACGGACAAGACUUCUCUGGGCAGUUCUGUGCCAUGAACGUGAGUCAGGAUCAGGCCAAUGAGGCCAUGCAUUGGGACUGGGAGUAGGCAUGGCAGGGGCAGCAGGGGCAGGGACUGUGUGCACGUGCCCCUUUGGAACCCAGAACGGCGCCAGCCUCACCAAACCUGCCGCUGGGCCACCCUGUGUACAUACCGUAUGACAUUCUUCCUCUCCUUGCGCUCCAGGGCACUGUGGACAGCUUCAUCCCGCCCGCCAUCACGGCGGCCUACAACGAAUGGACCAUCCCCUACUGCGCCGAGGUGGCGCCGCCGCUGAGCGUAUGCAGCGCACUCAACGUGUCUGCCGGCAACUGCACCUGCGCGACGUUGCAGCAGCAGGGCCGCUGCGCUGACAUGGGAACCGGCGGCGUGUGGCUGGGCAACACGUCGGACGCCAACCUGCGUGCCAAUGUGGCCAAGACGCUCGGCUACUGCUCUGUGACGUGCGGUCGCUGCAGCGAGGGCCAGGAGUGGUGCCGCGACAUCCCCAUCAUGCCGCUCAGCCUGUCCAGUGAGUGGAAGGAGGGGAUGAGGACACUUGUAAGGCGUUUGCAGUUUGGCUUGCUUCGUGGUUCUAACGCUUCCCGCGGUGUGGCGCCCCUCCCAUUCCAUCUUUGCCUGCAGAGAACCAGACGUGCUCGCAGAUGGUUCCGCUGGGCCGCUGCUACGAGGUGGCGCCCAAGGGCUACUGCCACGACACGUGUGGCGUGUGCAGCGGCGCAGGGCUGCCGUGUGUGGACCUGCGCUGGACAGAUCAGUACACAUGCGCCGACCUCAAGUCUUGGGGCUCGUGCAAUGACACCUGGGUCACGGACAACAACUUUUGUCGAAAGACGUGCGGCGCGUGCACGGGCAUGCCCCGGCCACCGUCGCCGCGGCCGCCUUCGCCACGCCCGCCAUCUCCUUCGCCUCCGUCGCCACGCCCACCAUCGCCGCCCUCACCUCCCUCGCCUAGCCCGCCCUCUCCUAAGCCGCCCUCGCCACCGUCUCCUCCUUCACCCAGCCCACCGUCUCCCAAGCCGCCUACACCGCCAUCCCCCGUGCCGCCCUCGCCCAAGCCUCCCGUGCCGCCUUCUCCCGUACCACCCUCACCGAAGCCCCCUGCGCCUCCUUCGCCCUCCCCGCCAUCUCCCAAGCCGCCCGCGCCCUCUCCCCCUCCGGUCCCUCCAUCCCCAAAGCCACCGUCUCCCUCGCCGCCCACACCUCCCAAGCCGCCGUCGCCUUCCCCGCCCUCGCCGUCGAACAGCCCUUGGCGUUGCACCGGCAACACGGCCGGCAUCGCUGGGUGUGUGGACCCGGCAUCCUACCCAGCGCCUGCCUCGUCAGCCAACGCAGCGACUUGCGGCGUCCUUCCUUCGUGCACAACCAUCGGCUGCCCCCAUUGCGACGCGUCGCUCAAGCGCUGGGACUCGGCUGCGACGUGGACAAAUUACGCUAACCAGGUGCCGGUGUCAGGCGCGGACAAGGACGUAACUCUUCCGCCGGGCACCCGUGUGCUGCUUUCGGGCUGCAUGCUGAGCGGGGGCUCGCGCUUCCGCCGCAUCACCGUUCCCGAGGGCAGCCAGGUAUGCGUCUUGGCGCAUUUGUGGUAAACUGCAAAUGCGGGGACCAGGACCUUGCGCGUUGGAAGUUGGGUGGUUAGCCAACGAAACCGUGUGUGUAAGCCGAGCUUGGGCGUUGCAACCCGGGCGCCUUCCCUGCUCACUUCAAUCGUGCCGUACGCGUUUUGGUCACGCCUCACACCAUGUCCCUGCCCCGGCUUUCUGUGCGCUGUGCAGCUGGUUAUAGACGACGCGCCGCUGAACCUGACGCUGACCACGCUGCUGGUGCAAGGCAACUUCAGUAUGGGCUCCGCCAGCUGCCGCCUGCAGAGCGCCAUCUCCAUCACGUUCGCGCCCGCGGCAGGAGUGCCCACCAACAUGAUGGCGCUCAAGGUGUGCAGGGAAAGCUUCUUUGGGACGGGCCCUCAGUAGGGCAUGUGGGUCGGGAUCGCCCGUGUCCAGGUGGGCUAGGUGGCAGUGUCGCGGGCAAUCAAGGUGUUCAUGCUGGACUCUGUGGCGUAGGAGCACUGUGUGUGCACUCUCCUCUUGUACACCUGCACCAAGGGUUCCCUCCCCUGCACAGGGCAUGAACACCAGCACUGUGGACAUGCACGGCGUGCUGUUCACGCCCACUUGGACGCGGCUGACUCAGACAGCGGCCCCGGGCACUCGUUGGGUGACUGUGCGCGACGCAGUCAACUGGCGUGUGGGGCAGCUGGUGGCCGUCCCUACCAGCGUGUGGAAAGACGAGUGCCGCAACCAGAACGAGGUCAGGCAGAUCCAGAGCAUCAGCGCCGACGGCAAGAACAUCACAUUCACGACGGCGCUGCAGUUUUUGCACUACGGGUAGGUUGGCGCUAACCUUCGAGUGAUGCUGUUUGGACGGCCGGGGCCCGUUUAUGUGCAUGUGGUGCCCAUAGUGACACCACGUACCAUCGCGGUCCUGGUGCAGGGGCCCCGAGUACCAGACGGAAGUGGUGCUCCUGAGCCGCAGCAUCCUGUUGCAAGGCAGCCCCGAGUCCGCGGCCGAGCUGGCGGGCGGGCACGUGCGCAUUGAGAGCAAGGUGGGUUCGCGCGAGGGCAAGGUGACCACUUGGCGGCGGCAUGCUGGUUGGCAUUAACGUGCAGUGCGAACGCGCACUUGUAUCUUCGAGUGAACCUCCGCUCACCUGGCGGUUCCCGUGAUCUGUGACGUGCAGCGCGGGCGCAUCCGCGGCGUGCUGGGCUACCGCAUGGGCCAGCAGUUUCAGAUGGGCAGCUACCCGUUCCAUUUCCACAUGGCGGGCGAGGUGCCGUCUGACAGCUACAUGACCGACAACGCAGUGUACGCCAGCUACUGGCGAGGUGCGCUUAUGGAGGCUUCAGGAUGUGUGUACUGUGAAGGCUGUCGUUGCAGAAUGGCCAUCCCAAACUUGCCCUGAUGACUGCCUUGACCGUAUGCCUACCUCUUGCCCACGCUCGCAGCCUUCACCAUCCACGGCACGCACGCGCUGACGGUGGCCAGCAACACCGCCUUCCACGUGGCCGGCUCGGCGUUCUACAUUGAGGACGGCGCGGAGGAGCGCAACCGCAUCAGCGGCAACUUUGCCGGCUUCGUGCACCCGCUGGGCCGUGUGGACACGUGCGACGCGGUUGGCAGCGUGUUCGGCGCGCCCACCAUCUACCAGUCUGCUACACUGCUGCAGCCUGCCGACUGGGCCGCUGCUGGCUUCUACCUUAGGUGGGCGCAUGGGGCUAGGGCCGCCUGUGUAUGGUUUCUUGCCUUUGCAAUAUCUGCGUGCGUGCCAUACGCUACGACUUGGUGAUUCCCACACGGGCUUCCCAUCGUUGCAGCAACGCCUACAACUACAUCGACAACAACGCGGCCAGUGGCGGCACCAGCGGCUUCAUGUUCCUGAACCUGCCCUUGCCGAUCGGGGUGAGUGCCGGUGUGUGCCCCCUCAUUGCAUGCUGGGUGGCAUCUUUCUUUCACAAUGCUCAAUCGUGACCCGGCUGGUGACUUCGUUUCACUAUGCCGCCUGUGCGUGCCCAUAUCUGCCCAGCUGAACCGCAACGUGCCGCUGGAGCCCUACAAGCGGCCCCCGCUGAGCUUCAGCGGCAACACCGCGCACUCGUCCGGCUAUCACUGGGACAAUGCGGGUGCAAUCUACUGCGGCGGUAACCUGCAGUACGACACAGACAACGUGACGCUGAUCUACAAGAUUGAGCGGUCCACGUUUGACCCCACGUGAGUCUUUGUGAGCUGCUUACAGCUUUCCCUUUCGCCCAGCCAUUUCGGCAACAUGCGCCGUACUCUCCCUCACUUACUUACCACAGAGACACGGCCAACUCUUCGUUACCGGUCAAGUUUGUGUUGCGCAACACCAAAGUGUGGCUGGGCGGCUUCUCAGUCGCUUCCUAUGGCGACCGGUUCUUGGUGAGUCAUUACGAUGCAUGUGGCCUUUGCCCCUGUGACUGCUUGCAAGCACGUUUGCUGCUGGACCGCACAUGAACCUACGCGCUACCUACCUGCGUCUUGCUUGUGCCCGCCCCCAGGUGGACGGCUUUGAGUCGCAUGACGGCACCAUGGGCGCGGCGGUGCGCGGUGACCCCAAUGAGCUGCUCAAUGCCGACCUGAACCUCAACUCCGCCCACGCCGGCUGGCUGACUGCCAACAUCCCCAAUGAGUGAGUCUUCUGCCUGCAAUCAUAGGCCAUGCUAUGCCGCUCGUCGCAGCUACCCGGUCGAUAACGCCCGUAAGCCCCAUCGCACCCGGCUGCUCCUUUGGUUUACCACUCGCAGCCUGCAACAAGGCUACCGCUUCGGUCUGCAGUUCUACGACACGUGGAUGCGGCACCUUAUGUCCAACGUCACCAUCCGCAACGUGGUGUACAGCAGCACCGAGUGGCUCACGCAGGCGGCGCUGGUGGCAUUGACCUUUUCGGACCAGUUUAAGCCGUUCCACGUGGCCAGCAUUCGGGGCAUCCGCCUAGUGAACGUGACCAAGGCGGCCGUGUUGAGCAACCCCGUGGUCCGCACUGGGUCAUGGCGCUUCUACAACUUCCUGGGUGCGGACACGAAUGGCGGGGCACGUUCCAUUAGUUUGCUUGUGUAUGUGUAAGGAAGUUUUGUACCUUUGUUGUGCCACACGCCCGUUCUUGAUCUUGCCCGAUGCACACACUGACCUGCAGACGCGGACGGUUCCUUCACGGGCACCAAGCGCCCCACGCUGGUAGCGUCCUACUCCGCCACCAACAACACCGGGCCCUGCGAUGCCGCUGCGCCCACACCCUGCACCUCGAGCUUUAACUGGUGGCGCACGGACACGGCCUGCACGGCCACGCCGCCAAAUGUGUGAGUGCGGGGUCGGCUGGGCUAUUGGCUGUGCCGGUGACUUGGCAGUGCAGGGCAACAUAGCACGCACUGCUGACACUCAACACCACUGGCAUUGCUAUCUGUCCCUCAACCAACAAACACAUGCGCAGGCCUGCAACGUCGAACGUCCUCGCGUGUGACUGGUGGGUGGAGAAUGGACGGACCUGCUGUGUGCUUUGUGGAUGCAAACAUAGCAGCUGUUGCCUUUUAUGCUGCACAUUGACGGAUACGUACAUGGGCAUUGACCCUACCUGCUUUUACUCGCCGUGUUCGCCAGGUACCCAUGGCGCACCCAGGGGCGCCUGAGGCUGGAGGUGCCGAGCUAUGACCUCACGGUAACAACUUGAUGGUCUGCACGCCUCGCUAUGAACCUUCCACGUGGGGUGUCCCAACCAACAACGUGUUAUGCGACCUGCAUUCGCGUCACGUUUGCCUUGACUACGCUCCUGCGCAGACUGAAGAGGCUGGCUGGUUGUGGCCUUCCGUCAACAACAUCAACGUGUACGACGCCGGCGUGGUGGCGCAGUUCGGCCAGACCGGCGCCAGCCGCCGCGCCACCAUCAUCACUCGGGCCGAGGGCGUGACGGGCCUGACGGGGCGCGGCGGCUGGUACGCGCACUGGAGCCUGGGCGCACCCAAGUACGUCAAGGUGCAUUUGGAGACUGUGCCCCGCGGCACCUCCAUCAUCUUUGCUACGCGCUACCCCGCCGGCACCACCUUCAGCAUCACCCGCGUGGCCAGCUCCUGGCUGGUGCCUGACGGGCAGCUGCUGCCCGCGACCAGCCUGGCGGCGGUGCUGGGCAGCGACUCCGGCGAGUUCUACUUCUUUGACGGCAAGCUGCUGUACCUGAAGCUGGUGGACCUUUGGGAGGAGCCGUACCAGGGUCGGCUGCCGGCCCGGAGCGGCGGGCUGAUGGUGCCCGGCAGCCGCUGGGAGGAGUACUAUGAGGUGACGGCCAGCAUCCCUGGCUGCUCCACGUCGCCGUACCCCAGUCAGAACGGACAAGACUUCUCUGGGCAGUUCUGUGCCAUGAACGUGAGUCAGGAUCAGGCCAAUGAGGCCAUGCAUUGGGACUGGGAGUAGGCAUGGCAGGGGCAGCAGGGGCAGGGACUGUGUGCACGUGCCCCUUUGGAACCCAGAACGGCGCCAGCCUCACCAAACCUGCCGCUGGGCCACCCUGUGUACAUACCGUAUGACAUUCUUCCUCUCCUUGCGCUCCAGGGCACUGUGGACAGCUUCAUCCCGCCCGCCAUCACGGCGGCCUACAACGAAUGGACCAUCCCCUACUGCGCCGAGGUGGCGCCGCCGCUGAGCGUAUGCAGCGCACUCAACGUGUCUGCCGGCAACUGCACCUGCGCGACGUUGCAGCAGCAGGGCCGCUGCGCUGACAUGGGAACCGGCGGCGUGUGGCUGGGCAACACGUCGGACGCCAACCUGCGUGCCAAUGUGGCCAAGACGCUCGGCUACUGCUCUGUGACGUGCGGUCGCUGCAGCGAGGGCCAGGAGUGGUGCCGCGACAUCCCCAUCAUGCCGCUCAGCCUGUCCAGUGAGUGGAAGGAGGGGAUGAGGACACCUGUAAGGCGUUUGCGGUUUGGCUUGCUUCGUGGUUCUAACGCUUCCCGCGGUGUGGCGCCCCUCCCAUUCCAUCUUUGCCUGCAGAGAACCAGACGUGCUCGCAGAUGGUUCCGCUGGGCCGCUGCUACGAGGUGGCGCCCAAGGGCUACUGCCACGACACGUGUGGCGUGUGCAGCGGCGCAGGGCUGCCGUGUGUGGACCUGCGCUGGACAGAUCAGUACACAUGCGCCGACCUCAAGUCUUGGGGCUCGUGCAAUGACACCUGGGUCACGGACAACAACUUUUGUCGAAAGACGUGCGGCGCGUGCACGGGCAUGCCCCGGCCACCGUCGCCGCGGCCGCCUUCGCCACGCCCGCCAUCUCCUUCGCCACCUUUGCCUCCAGCU
rnacentral:lncRNA from 1 species